GCGGGCGUGGUGUAGGGUACACAGCUACAUUGCUUGGAUGUUUGCCCAAUGCUUUGAGCAGCAGACCCGGGUUCGACUCCCGGCGCCCGCA